GGAAGUGGUGCUUGCACCAUGGUAACCAUGGCGGACGGGUGAGUAACGCGUAAGGGACUUACCUGCAGGACUGGGAUAACAGGGGGAAACUCCUGACAAGACCGGAUAAUGUCAUGGAGCUGCAUGGCUCUAUGAUGAAAGGAGACGCCUGCGGAGAGCCUUGCGUCCUAUUAGCUAGUUGGUGAGGUAAUGGCUCACCAAGGCGAAGAUAGGUAGCCGGCCUGAGAGGGUGGACGGCCACAAGGGGACUGAGAUACGGCCCUUACUCCUACGGGAGGCAGCAGUGGGGAAUAUUGGACAAUGGGGGCAACCCUGAUCCAGCAAUUCUGUGUGCACGAAGAAGGUUUUCGGAUUGUAAAGUGCUUUCAGCAGGGAAGAAGUAAGUGACGGUACCUGCAGAAGAAGCGACGGCUAAAUACGUGCCAGCAGCCGCGGUAAUACGUAUGUCGCGAGCGUUAUCCGGAAUUAUUGGGCAUAAAGGGCAUCUAGGCGGCCUGACAAGUCAGGGGUGAAAACCUGCGGCUCAACCGCAGGCCUGCCUUUGAAACUGUGAGGCUGGAGUACCGGAGAGGUGGACGGAACUGCACGAGUAGAGGUGAAAUUCGUAGAUAUGUGCAGGAAUGCCGAUGAUGAAGAUAGUUCACUGGACGGUAACUGACGCUGAAGUGCGAAAGCCGGGGGAGCGAACAGGAUUAGAUACCCUGGUAGUCCCGGCUGUAAACGAUGAUUACUGGGUGUGGGCAGGAAGACUGUCUGUGCCGAAG
rnacentral:rRNA from 1 species